rnacentral:rRNA from 1 species
AGGGAAUAUUGCAAAAUGGGCGAAAGCCCGAUGCAGCAACGCCGCGUGGGCGAUGAAGGCCUUCGGGUCGUAAAGCCCUUUUUGAGGGGAUGAGGAAGGACAGUACCCUCGGAAUAAGCCUCGGCUAACUACGUGCCAGCAGCCGCGGUAAAACGUAGGAGGCGAGCGUUAUCCGGAUUUACUGGGCGUAAAGCGCGUGCAGGCGGAUUGGAGAGUUGGAUGUGAAAGCUCCCGGCUUAACUGGGAGAGGUCGUUCAAUACUUCCAGUCUUGAGUGCAGUAGAGGGAAGUGGAAUUCCGGGUGUAGUGGUGAAAUGCGUAGAUAUCCGGAGGAACACCAGUGGCGAAAGCGGCUUCCUGGACUGUAACUGACGCUCAGACGCGAAAGCUAGGGUAGCAAACG